rnacentral:rRNA from 1 species
AAGUCGAGGGGCAGCAUGAACUUAGCUUGCUAAGUUUGAUGGCGACCGGCGCACGGGUGAGUAACGCGUAUCCAACCUUCCGCUUACUCGGGAAUAGCCUUUCGAAAGAAAGAUUAAUACCCGAUGGUAUCUUAAGCGCACAUGCAAAUAAGAUUAAAGAUUUAUCGGUAAGCGAUGGGGAUGCGUUCCAUUAGAUAGUAGGCGGGGUAACGGCCCACCUAGUCGACGAUGGAUAGGGGUUCUGAGAGGAAGGUCCCCACAUUGGAACUGAGACACGGUCCAAACUCC